rnacentral:rRNA from 1 species
UACGGAGGGGGCUAGCGUUGUUCGGAAUUACUGGGCGUAAAGCGCACGUAGGCGGCUUUGUAAGUUAGAGGUGAAAGCCCAGGGCUUAACCCUGGAAUUGCCUUUAAGACUGCAUCGCUAGAAUCGUGGAGAGGUAAGUGGAAUUCCGAGUGUAGAGGUGAAAUUCGUAGAUAUUCGGAAGAACACCAGUGGCGAAGGCGACUUACUGGACAAGUAUUGACGCUGAG